AUUGAACGCUGGCGGCAGGCCUAACACAUGCAAGUCGAGCGGGGUUUUCGGACCUAGCGGCGGACGGGUGAGUAAUGCGUAGGAAGCUACCCGAUAGAGGGGGAUACCAGUUGGAAACGACUGUUAAUACCGCAUAAUGUCUACGGACCAAAGUGUGGGACCUUCGGGCCACAUGCUAUCGGAUGCGCCUACGUGGGAUUAGCUAGUUGGUGGGGUAAUGGCUCACCAAGGCGACGAUCCCUAGCUGGUUUGAGAGGAUGAUCAGCCACACUGGAACUGAGACACGGUCCAGACUCCUACGGGAGGCAGCAGUGGGGAAUAUUGGACAAUGGGCGCAAGCCUGAUCCAGCCAUGCCGCGUGUGUGAAGAAGGCCUUCGGGUUGUAAAGCACUUUCAGUAGGGAGGGAGAGUUGAGUGUUAAUAGUACUCAGCUUUGACGUUACCUACAGAAGAAGCACCGGCUAACUCUGUGCCAGCCGCCGCGGUAACAC
rnacentral:rRNA from 1 species